GCAUAUCGGUGGUUCAGUGGUAGAAUGCUCGCCUGCCACGCGGGCGGCCAGGGUUCCGGCAGAUGCA